rnacentral:lncRNA from 1 species
CUUUCGGAAAUGCAGAGCUCAUAUGUUUAUGUGUGUAUGUGGUUACAAAUGCCGAGCUCAUAUGUUUAUGUGUGUAUGUGGUUAUAAAUGCAGAGCUCAUAUGUGUAUGUGUGUAUGUGGUUAUAAAUGCAGAGCUCAUAUGUGUAUGUGUGUAUGUGGUUAUAAAUGCAGAGCUCAUGUGUUUACGUGUGUAUGUGGUUAUAAAUGCAGAGCUCUUGUGUUUAUGUGUGUAUGUGGUUAUAAAUGCAGAGCUCUUGUGUUUACAUGUGUAUGUGGUUAUAAAUGCAGAGCUCUUGUGUUUACAUGUGUAUGUGGUUAUAAAUGCAGAGCUCAUAUGUGUAUGUGUGUAUGUGGUUAUAAAUGCAGAGCUCAUAUGUGUAUGUGUGUAUGUGGUUAUAAAUGCAGAGCUCUUGUGUUUACAUGUGUAUGUGGUUAUAAAUGCAGAGCUCUUGUGUUUAUGUGUGUAUGUGGUUAUAAAUGCAGAGCUCUUGUGUUUACAUGUGUAUGUGUUUAUAAACAUAGGCAAGAAGACACAGUGAGGAAAGAAACUUUUCCUUGGACCUGCAUGUCAGUAAGGCUUUGGCUUUGAAGGCUGACAAAGAAUAACCAGGAUCAGAAAGCACAUCUAGGGACUUCGAACCUGGGGAUCUGAUCCAUCGUUAGAAGCAAGAAGGAAGGGAUGAGGCAGUCUCCAUCCAGCAUUGGAGAAGAGAGCUAAUCGUUUUCAGGAUUAUCAGCAGAACUCACGUGGUCUCUGGAAAACUGAAAUGAGGGAGGACUCAUGUUGAUUAUUACUCCCAUAUUUAGUAUGUUUCAAUACUAAAAUUGCAGGUACCUCUGCAGAAUGUACAGAUUCACACAUUUUAAUAUUAAAAAAAAAAUCUGGGUAAGAGUCCCUCUCCUUUAUCUUUGCCUGGAAGAUUGAUCCAAGCUUUGCUUCUUAAAUAAAACAGCUUUAAUUUCUCAUAUAUUUCAAACCUAUGUAGACUAUUAGCUUCCCUCAUUUUUUGUAUUUUUUAAAACAUUUACUUAAUUGUAGGUGACCUUUCUCUUUGUGACAUUGGAUCCUACUCUUACCUUGUUGAAAAGUCAAAGAGAAACGUAAAGCAUAGGCAAAAUGUAUCAUAAGCAUUUUACUUACUCAUUUUUUACAAUUUGUAAUUAGCUCAACCCACUUUUCCUAUCCAAAGAAAAGGAAUACAAAAUUGGAGAAUCGUUUACUCUCUUGGCCUGGUGAGGCUAAACGAUGGUUUCUGGUUGUGAGGGGCUAAUGAGAAUGGAAGGCCUUGUCUUCAAGGAGUUCUACUUUUCUCAGAAAGUGGCCAGUUACCGUUUACGGCCCCAGCACUCUUUGAUACUAAUCAGUUAAUUCAGUCUCCCGGCCCUCAGAUGUAUUGGUGUUUACUCUGUUAAGCAGCGCACAUUUCAAUACGGCGAAACACAUGUUUGGCUGAAAUCAGAUCCUUCUGCUCACCAGCUCCCCUCUGCAGAGGUUAGGAAGACAAGACAAAAGACCGUUGGCAACAAGCGCAGCCAAAUUAAGAGCGGUUUCCAAGCGCAUUUCCUUAAAGCAAUGGGGAUGUUAGAAAUCGGUAGGGGAGGGUUUUUGGUGAAGCAAGUUUAAAAGAGACAGACUCCAGUAGAACAUCUGGCAGCACGGGCCCCCCUUCAAGCCCCCACCCUCCUGUGACUGGCCUGCCCUGUGCUCCAGCGAUAGCCCCAAUAUAAUUUCAUUGCAGCAGGAAAUCUG